rnacentral:tRNA from 1 species
UCCCUGAUGGCUCAGAUGGUAAAGCGUCUGCCUUCAGUGCUGGAGACCAAGGUUCAAUCCCUGGGUGGGGAA